rnacentral:rRNA from 1 species
AUCAACGGCCAUACCACCCAGAAUGCACCCCAUUUCAUCUGAUCUGGGAAGCAAAGCAGGGUUGGGCCUGGUUAGUACUUGGAUAGGAUAUUAUUUAAAAAGUAGUUUUUUCAUA